rnacentral:rRNA from 1 species
UACGGAGGGUGCAAGCGUUAAUCGGAAUCACUGGGCGUAAAGCGCUCGUAGGCUGUUUGGUAAGUCAGACGUGAAAGCCCUCGGCUUAACCGGGGAACUGCGUUUGAUACUGCCAGACUUGAGUGUCGGAGAGGGUGGCGGAAUUCCGGGUGUAGGAGUGAAAUCCGUAGAUAUCCGGAGGAACACCAGUGGCGAAGGCGGCCACCUGGACGACAACUGACGCUGAGGAGCGAAAGCGUGGGGAGCAAAC